rnacentral:lncRNA from 1 species
AGUCCUGAAUUUCUUCCUCCAAGGGGAAAAUUCAGAAACAAAGAAAAUAUAUGCUAGACAAUAGAAAGUUGUUUCAUAUUCCAGAGCUCUGUGUAGGAAGCACACUACAUGUCACCACAGCCAACCCCUAUGCUAGUAAGAAAACAAACAACAAAAGCAGACAGUUCCUGGGAAUGUGUGGCUAUCAAUCAGGAAAAGGGAUUGGGGCUACUUUCACCUCAGGAACACAUCUGAAGGAUUGAAGGACAAGGUGUGGUAAUUUGCUUUGAACCAUAUAAUCUGUGAAUCCAUGAGAUCCAAGUGGUGAAGUUUGAGAAGCAGCUGGACAACAAACAGCCUGUUGUACUUACAAGAUACCCACCCUGAAUUCAGCACCUUUGAUAUGACUAUGAAGCUGGUCCCACAUGAGUCCUGUAGG